rnacentral:rRNA from 2 species
CAUGGUUAAGUGGGAAACGAUGUGGGAAGGCCCAGACAGCCAGGAUGUUGGCUUAGAAGCAGCCAUCAUUUAAAGAAAGCGUAAUAGCUCACUGGUCGAGUCGGCCUGCGCGGAAGAUGUAACGGGGCUAAACCAUGCACCGAAGCUGCGGCAGCGACACCGUGUGUUGUUGGGUAGGGGAGCGUUCUGUAAGCCUGUGAAGGUGUGCUGUGAGGCAUGCUGGAGGUAUCAGAAGUGCGAAUGCUGACAUAAGUAACGAUAAAGCGGGUGAAAAGCCCGCUCGCCGGAAGACCAAGGGUUCCUGUCCAACGUUAAUCGGGGCAGGGUGAGUCGACCCCUAAGGCGAGGCCGAAAGGCGUAGUCGAUGGGAAACGGGUUAAUAUUCCCGUACUUGGUGUUACUGCGAAGGGGGGACGGAGAAGGCUAUGUUGGCCGGGCGACGGUUGUCCCGGUUUAAGCGUGUAGGUAUGUGUUCCAGGUAAAUCCGGUUCACUUUAACACUGAGGCGUGACGACGAGGCACUACGGUGCUGAAGCAACAAAUGCCCUGCUUCCAGGAAAAGCCUCUAAGCAUCAGGUAACAUCAAAUCGUACCCCAAACCGACACAGGUGGUCAGGUAGAGAAUACCAAGGCGCUUGAGAGAACUCGGGUGAAGGAACUAGGCAAAAUGGUGCCGUAACUUCGGGAGAAGGCACGCUGACACGUAGGUGAAGUGAUUUACUCACGGAGCUGAAGUCAGCCGAAGAUACCAGCUGGCUGCAACUGUUUAUUAAAAACACAGCACUGUGCAAACACGAAAGUGGACGUAUACGGUGUGACGCCUGCCCGGUGCCGGAAGGUUAAUUGAUGGGGUCAGCGCAAGCGAAGCUCCUGAUCGAAGCCCCGGUAAACGGCGGCCGUAACUAUAACGGUCCUAAGGUAGCGAAAUUCCUUGUCGGGUAAGUUCCGACCUGCACGAAUGGCGUAAUGAUGGCCAGGCUGUCUCCACCCGAGACUCAGUGAAAUUGAACUCGCUGUGAAGAUGCAGUGUACCCGCGGCAAGACGGAAAGACCCCGUGAACCUUUACUAUAGCUUGACACUGAACAUUGAGCCUUGAUGUGUAGGAUAGGUGGGAGGCUUUGAAGUGUGGACGCCAGUCUGCAUGGAGCCGACCUUGAAAUACCACCCUUUAAUGUUUGAUGUUCUAACGUGGACCCGUGAUCCGGGUUGCGGACAGUGUCUGGUGGGUAGUUUGACUGGGGCGGUCUCCUCCUAAAGAGUAACGGAGGAGCACGAAGGUUGGCUAAUCCUGGUCGGACAUCAGGAGGUUAGUGCAAUGGCAUAAGCCAGCUUGACUGCGAGCGUGACGGCGCGAGCAGGUGCGAAAGCAGGUCAUAGUGAUCCGGUGGUUCUGAAUGGAAGGGCCAUCGCUCAACGGAUAAAAGGUACUCCGGGGAUAACAGGCUGAUACCGCCCAAGAGUUCAUAUCGACGGCGGUGUUUGGCACCUCGAUGUCGGCUCAUCACAUCCUGGGGCUGAAGUAGGUCCCAAGGGUAUGGCUGUUCGCCAUUUAAAGUGGUACGCGAGCUGGGUUUAGAACGUCGUGAGACAGUUCGGUCCCUAUCUGCCGUGGGCGCUGGAGAACUGAGGGGGGCUGCUCCUAGUACGAGAGGACCGGAGUGGACGCAUCACUGGUGUUCGGGUUGUCAUGCCAAUGGCACUGCCCGGUAGCUAAAUGCGGAAGAGAUAAGUGCUGAAAGCAUCUAAGCACGAAACUUGCCCCGAGAUGAGUUCUCCCUGAGACUUUAGGUCUCCUGAAGGAACGUUGAAGACGACGACGUUGAUAGGCCGGGUGUGUAAGCGCAGCGAUGCGUUGAGCUAACCGGUACUAAUGAACCGUGAGGCUUAACCUUACAACGCCGAAG